rnacentral:rRNA from 1 species
UACGAAGGGGGCUAGCGUUGCUCGGAUUGACUGGGCGUAAAGGGCGCGUAGGCGGUUCGUACAGUCAGACGUGAAAUUCCUGGGCUCAACCUGGGAACUGCGUUUGUGACUGCAAGACUCGAGUGCGGCAGAGGGGGGUGGAAUUCCACGUGUAGCAGUGAAAUGCGUAGAGAUGUGGAGGAACACCGAUGGCGAAGGCAGCCCCCUGGGUCGACACUGACGCUCAUGCACGAAAGCGUGGGGAGCAAACAGG